rnacentral:tRNA from 1 species
ACCUGGAUGGCUCAGUCAGUAGAGCAUGUGACUCUUGAUCUUAGGGUCGUGAGUUCAAACCCCAUGUUGGGUG